rnacentral:rRNA from 1 species
GGUGGGGGGAGUAACGUUCGGUAAACGGAACGCUAAUACCGCAUACGUCCUCGGGAGAAAGACGGGGGAGUCUUCGGUACCUCGCGCCAUUAGAUGAGCCUAGGUCGGAUUAGCUAGUUGGUGAGGUAAUGGCUCACCAAGGCGACGAUCCGUAACUGGUCUGAGAGGAUGAUCAGUCACACUGGAACUGAGACACGGUCCAGACUCCUACGGGAGGCAGCAGUGGGGAAUAUUGGACAAUGGGCGAAAGCCUGAUCCAGCCAUGCCGCGUGUGUGAAGAAGGUCUUCGGAUUGUAAAGCACUUUAAGUUGGGAGGAAGGGUAGUAACCUAAUACGUUGCUACUUUGACGUUACCGACAGAAUAAGCACCGGCUAACUUCGUG